GUUUUGAUCAUGGCUCAGAUUGAACGCUGGCGGCAGGCCUAACACAUGCAAGUCGAACGGUAGCACAGAGAGCUUGCUCUCGGGUGACGAGUGGCGGACGGGUGAGUAAUGUCUGGGAAACUGCCUGAUGGAGGGGGAUAACUACUGGAAACGGUAGCUAAUCCCGCAUAACGUCGCAAGACCAAAGAGGGGGACCUUCGGGCCUCUUGCCAUCAGAUGUGCCCAGAUGGGAUUAGCUAGUAGGUGGGGUAACGGCUCACCUAGGCGACGAUCCCUAGCUGGUCUGAGAGGAUGACCAGCCACACUGGAACUGAGACACGGUCCAGACUCCUACGGGAGCAAGCAGUGGGGAAUAUUGCACAAUGGGCGCAAGCCUGAUGCACCCAUCCCGCGUGUAUGAAGAAGGCCUUCGGUUUGUAAAGUACUUUCAGCGGGGAGGAAGGUGAUAAGGUUAAUAACCUCAUCAAUUGACGUUACCCGCAGAAGAAGCACCGGCUAACUCCGUGCCAGCAGCCGCGGUAAUACGGAGGGUGCAAGCGUUAAUCGGAAUUUCUGGGGGUAAAGCCCACGCAGGCGGUCUGUCAAGUCGGAUGUGAAAUCCCCGGGCUCAACCUGGGAACUGCAUUCGAAACUGGCAGGCUGGAGUCUUGUAGAGGGGGGUAGAAUUCCAGGUGUAGCGGUGAAAUGCGUAGAGAUCUGGAGGAAUACCGGUGGCGAAGGCGGCCCCCUGGACAAAGAUUGACGCUCAGGUGCGAAAG
rnacentral:rRNA from 1 species